AAAGGCGCGCGAUACAGGGUGACAGCCCCGUACACAAAAGCGCAUGUGCUGUGAGCUCGAUGAGUAGGGCGGGACACGUGGUAUCCUGUCUGAAUAUGGGGGGACCAUCCUCCAAGGCUAAAUACUCCUGACUGACCGAUAGUGAACCAGUACCGUGAGGGAAAGGCGAAAAGAACCCCGGCGAGGGGAGUGAAAAAGAACCUGAAACCGUGUACGUACAAGCAGUGGGAGCACCCUUUGGGGUGUGACUGCGUACCUUUUGUAUAAUGGGUCAGCGACUUAU
rnacentral:rRNA from 1 species